CCUAUCUGGUUGAUCCUGCCAGUAGUCAUAUGCUUGUCUCAAAGAUUAAGCCAUGCAUGUCUAGGUACGAGCUGUGUUUAACACGGCGAGACCGCGGACGGCUCAUUAAAUCAGUCGUGGUCCAAAUGGGCUAGUGUUAUCUUACUUGGAUAACUGUGGUAAUUCCAGAGCUAAUACAUGCACCUUAUCCCUGAUGGUUAUGUGUGCAGUUUGUUUUGUUACAUGGGGCUUGUCUUCUGUUUCAAAGUCGCAUUCUGUGCACGCCUGACGGGUGCUUUUAUUAGACCAAACCGCUGGGGGUAAGAGAUCCUGUGUGUGUCUCGUGUUGUCGUUUGCGCUGAGUUUACUCUCGCAUUCACACUCAUUCGCAUGCACCUCUUACUUGACUCGUGAUAUGGUGACUCUGGAUAACCAUUUUGACGAGCGCACGUACUUGACUCUUUGAGUGAGCGGCGCCGCCCUUUCGAGUGUCUGCCUUAUCAGCUAUCAACCGUUCGUUACACGCGACCGAUGGCUUUGACGGGUAACGGGGAAUCAGGGUUCGAUUCCGGAGAGGCAGCCUGAGAGACGGCUACCACGUCCAAGGACGGCAGCAGGCACGCAAAUUACCCAAUCCCAGCACAUGGGGGAGGUAGUGACGAAAUCUAACGAUGCGGGCGCCCUUUCUGGGGCCCCGCAAUCGGAAUGAGCACUUUCUAAAACACCUGUUGAGGAGCUACUGGAGGGCAAGUCUGGUGCCAGCAGCCGCGGUAAUUCCAGCUCCAGCAGCAUCUAUUAAAGUUGCUGCGGUUAAAAGGCUCGCAGUUGAAUGUCAGUGCCGAGCGUAGGUCAGGUGGACGUUGGGGCGUGGGAUCCGGCUGAUCGUGUGUGUCUGUUUCGUCUUGCACCUCCGUGUGUGAGUCAAGCGUGGCACGCGGUUAGUUCUCACAAGCUCCCGUCCGUGACAAGCCUCCUCGCUUGCGUACAUACUGGGAAUUUGUAUACUGAGUGUGUAGCGGUGUUUCUGUUUACUGAGUGCGGCCGUGUGUUGGGUGCAUCUGGUUUAUGUUUGACAUUCUCCUAGUGCAUCGCUUACCGGUGUCUUAGCCUGUUUACAUAGCCUUACACUACUCUAAUGGUUUCAAUGUCACCUUGAGUAAAUCAGAGUGCUCAAAGCAGUCGUAAAGGGCUCUUAUGCCCUGUGAACAGUCUUGACAGACUGACUUGAUUUUGCAUGGGAUGUCGGAAGACGACGUCGAGUGCUGGCUCAGAGAAUUGAUAUCAGUGGUAUAAGCCAGCCUCGACGUACUGAUUAAAAGGAAUGGUCGAGGGCAUUGGUAUUGCGAGGCGAGAGGUGAAAUUCUAUGACCCCCGCAAGACCGCCUGAAGCGAAAGCGUCUGCCAAGGACGUUUUCAUUAAUCAUGAACGAAAGUUAGAGGAUCGAAGGCGAUCAGAUACCGCCCUAGUUCUAACCCUAAACGAUGCCAACCAUCAAUCCGCGCGUAGCACCCUUUUUGACGGGCUCGGCGGGCAGCUCCUUAUUCACGGGAAACCAGAGUCUCUGGGUUCCGGGGGGAGUCUGGUUGCAAAGCUGAAACUUAAAGGAAUUGACGGAAAGGCACCACCAGGCGUGGCCGCCGCUUAAUUUGACUCAACACGGGCCAUCUCACCAGGCCAGCACUCUUGCAUGAUUGACAGAUUGAAAGCUCUUUCUCGAUUCAGUGGAUGGUGGUGCAUGGCCGUUCUUAGUUGGUGGAGUGAUCUGUCUGGUUAAUUCCGAUAACGAACGAGACUCUCCCCUGCUAACUAGUCGGUUGGAUCUUGCUCGGUGAGUCGUGCCCCAAGUGUUUGCGCCUUUGGUUAGGUGUUGCAUGCGCCUCUUGCGUGGGGAAUAAUGUUGUCGUGUGCGUGUUCUCAUCGUGUGCUUCGGUAUGCGGUGGGUGUGCGUGUCGAUGGCACCUCAUGCUUGUGUGUGCAAUUACCCCUUUGGUUUGCGACCUUGGAUCGUACACUCCAAGUCCGCCGCUUAUGCAAAAAUUCUUCUUAGAGGGAUCCACGGUUCUGAAGCCGUCAGAGACUGAGAGCAAUAACAGGUCUGUGAUGCCCUUAGAUGCUCUGGGCCGCACGCGCGCUACAAUGCCGGGUUCAGCAGGUUUUUUUCCUAUUCCGACAGGAACGGGUAACCCUCUGAAAGCCCAUUUGAUUACUCCCAACCUCUCGUGUGUGUUAUGUGUUCUGCACGUUUCUAUGCGAUGUUGGCUGGCGUGCUUGGGCCUGGGGCUUGCAAUUCUUUCCCACAAACGAGGAAUGCCUAGUAGUGACGGAUCACUGAGUCCGCCGUGACUCAGUCCCUGCCCUUUGUACACACCGCCCGUCGCUACUACCGAUUGGGUGUACGAGUGAGAGCCGUGGACUGGCAUCCGUAGCUGUAUUCUUAUAUGCGGCCAUCGGUAUUGACGGAAAGAGGUCCGAACUCGUGCACUUAGAGGAAGUAAAAGUCGUAACAAGGUUUCCGUAGGUGAACCUGCGGAAGGAUCAUUA
rnacentral:rRNA from 1 species